UAGUAAUCGUGGAUCAGAAUGCCACGGUGAAUACGUUCCCGGGCCUUGUACACACCGCCCGUCACACCAUGGGAGUGGGCUGCAAAAGAAGUAGGUAGUUUAACCUUCGGGGGGACGCUUACCACUUUGUGGUUCAUGACUGGGGUGAAGUCGUAACAAGGUAGCGCUAGGGGAACCUGGCGCUGGAUCACCUCCUUA
rnacentral:rRNA from 1 species